UUGAAAGGGAAACGAUUGAAGUCAAUCAUGCCCGCGGAGAAUCCACUUAGGGGAAACUCUGAGGGCCCCUCUUCGCUUGGCAGGUUAGCGUCGAUUUUGGAUGUCAUAAAAUGACUGAGGGGAAAGUAGCUCUUUCGGGAGUGUUAAGCCCUUGGUAGAUGUGAUGUCUGGGAUCGAGGAUUGCAACGGAUACCUUUUGGGCUAGCCGCCUAGUCUCUAAUACGAAGUUGGGUUACAGACAGCACGCUGACUGUGUCUGAUUUCGGUUAAAAGAUUAGAGCGAGCAUAAAUCGUUAAGGAUGUUGACGUA
rnacentral:rRNA from 1 species